UAGGCUCAAGGAAUAACCUUAUUAAUAAUAAAUAGUAUAAAAGUUGAUUAUUUGAGAAUAUGAGACCCGUAUGGUUCCGGUAUUCUAUUCCCAUCAAUUUACUGUUUUAAAUGAUCCUCAGCUGUUUAAAGAUCUUCUUGAGAAAGUAUGUAUAGACUUUGGUAUACCAUUAUUGACUUCUUGUACCAUUAUUGACUUGAUUAGGCUUUUCCUGACAUUCAUGGGACAGAAGGAGCAGGGUCACUUAAUGGUCAGUAAACAUGAUUUUCAGUCCCUGUUCUGCCCCAUUUAUUGGUCACCUCAUCCAUAAAUUCUAUGGAUGUUUUAGAUACAGUUUUGCUAUGUAGCCCAAGCUGUCCUGAAACUCAAAAGAUAGUGACCUCAGUCUCUUGAGUGCUGGCUGACAUUGCAAGCCUGCAACCACAUGCCUACUUAAAUACCGUACUUGUCCCUAGCUUGAUGCUCACCGCCAUCUCUUCCCUUCUAACUACUACAUUUUCCUCUACCACCACCCUAGGACCUCCCCUCCCUGCUUUUGCCACAGAUGAGGGCAUUGCAGAGGUUGGACAGUUUUCUGGACAGUUUUCCAAGGUCAUACAGUGAGGCCAGAAUUUGGAUUCACUUCUGUCCAGUUCAAAACAGACUAGCCUAUGUUGUGCUAUAUUUAACAAGACGCUGCUUCUCUGAAGAACUUUUCUUUCUAAAUGAAGAUAAGUUUAUCUGUCCUGACUUCUUUGAAGAAAGGCAUGGGGGUCAAAUGAAGUAGAAUUCUGAAAACACUGGAAAUUUACAUUUUUAGAUAAAUGCUCUGGGGGAAGUACAUAUGUGAGAAACAGAUUUUCUACCUUGCCCCCUCUCUCAGAGUGUUGGGGGGGUCGAAUUUUAUUCUCAGAAAGCUUCCACCUGCUGGCCAUGCAUAUUAAUCCAUUGGAGGAAAUACAGACUUGUACAGCUUAGCUUCAUAUAGUCCUCCUUCACGACUGUCUCUAGGACCCUAAAGUUGUAAUUGGAGUUCCAGAUUGUUACUUCUUCCCAUUACAUAUUUGUAAUUGCUCAUCUUUGAUACUGCUUAUGAUUUAUUAACUAGCUGUAAAUAUUUGAUAUUGUGGUAUAAGGUAGGUAGAGAUGAGCAAUUGCCUCUCCACUAUGUUUACUUGGGAGAGAUGGGUUUGAUAUGGUUUUUGUUGGUUGGGUUUCAUACAUCUGAUGGAUGGUUUUUUCCCUCCCACAAGGAUAUAAUGUUUCUUUGCUAUAUGACCUGGAAAAUCUACCUGCAUCCAAGGAUUCUAUUGUGCAUCAGGCUGGCAUGUUGAAGCGAAAUUGUUUUGCCUCUGUGUUUGAGAAAUACUUCCAAUUCCAAGAAGAGGGCAAAGAAGGAGAGAACAGAGCAGUUAUCCAUUAUAGGGAUGAUGAGACCAUGUAAGUAUGAACGUUUGCUCCUCAAGCCUGGGUGUGGCCAUCUCACAAGGUGCUUACUGAGAGAAAUAGUGUGAUGAAACCUUAAACUCUGGUAUAUGGAUCCUGUUGAAAAUCUUUCUUACAGAAUUUCUUAAUCUGGGAUAUAAAUGAUAAGGAAGAAAAUAGACCACUUCUCAGCAUCUAAAGUUGACAGAAGAUGAAAAGAAAAUCCUAUGCUUUCCUUUAAGGCACUAAUUUUAUGAUUUUUCUAAAUGUGUUUAUUUUUUAGACCUCCUUGUUAUUUUAUGUGUUGUGGUAUUUCGUGGUUGUCAGCCGCCUUGUAGUAUGAGAAUUAAACUCUUGCCUUCUGGAAGGGCAGCCAGUGCUCUUAACCACUGAGCAGUCUCUAUGCUCAGGGCACCAUUUUUCUGAAUUCUUUUACUGAAAAGCACUUCCCUUCGCCUGGGGAGAUAGAUAGUUCAGCUCUUCAGUAAGAUACUUACUGCUUUCUCAGGGAAUUCGAGUUCAGUUCUCAACUCACAUGCCAGCUCACAACUGUCUGUAACUCCACUUCCAGGGCAUUGGGCACACAUGUGCACAGGUUUAUGGACAGACAAAACACCCCAUAGAUAUCAAAUUAAAUAAACACAUAAACAAAUUUUAAAGAUGUCCCAGAUAAUUCAGACACCAUAGGCUAAACAUAAAGAGUUUUUUUUUUUAAAUAAGUGACAUUCUAAGAAUAACUUAAAAUGCCUAGUAUAUACAAGAUAAAUGAAUCUAGCUUUGUUAAUUUCUUUUCCUUGGGAAUACGUUUAUUGCCCUGCCUUUCCUGACUCCAAAUACUAUCUCUGGCUUACCUGUGUUUUAUUGAUUAGAAACUUUGGACUUCACCCUUCCACUUGCAGGUGAGGUUAGGAACAGUUCUUCUAAUGCUGUUCUUACUUCCUGAGUUUUGUGCCCUCAGGUAUGUGGAAUCUAAGAAAGACAGAGUCACAGUAGUCUUCAGCACGGUUUUUAAAGAUGACGACGAUGUGGUCAUCGGAAAGGUGUUCAUGCAGGUACGGAGCAAAAAUCUAGAGGGGAAAUUGUGCUGUAGGAAGUUCAAUCUUCACAUACUAUGUACACAGCCACCAGAUGGUCUGGACUUGAAGCUCAGCGGUAGAGCAUUGCAUUGCCUGAUAUGCAUAAGGUCCCAGGUUUGCCUCCAUUGCCUGGGCAAUUGGUAACAGAAAUAGAACAACAUACAUGUCAUAUACUCCAAGGCCUAGAAAAGAUCAGUUCUGUUAGUGUUGAAACUUGAAAAUGUAAUGAACAACCUGUCUUCGUUUGUUUCUUUGUUGCUAUGAUAAAACACUGGCCAAAACAACUUGGAAGAAAGGGGUUUAUUUCACCUUAGACGUCCAGGUCACAGUCCACCUCUGAAGGAAGUCCUGAUAGCUCAAAACCUAGAAGCAGGAACCGAAGCAGACACCCUGAGAAGUGUUGCUUUCUGGCUUCAUCCCCAUGGCUUGCUCAGCCUGGUUCUUUAUGUAAUCCAGAACCAGCAGCUCAGGGCGUCACUCUACAGGAAGAGCUGGGUCCCUACAAAUCAGUCAUUAAUCAGAAACACACCCCACUAGCAUACCUACAGCACAGUCCUAACAAAGACAGUUUCUCCACGAGGUUCCCCUGCCCUGAUAUGUCUAGGUUUAUGUCAAGUUGACAAAAGCCAACCAGCAUGGCCCCCCACCCAAACCCGAAUGCCUGUUUCUUGUUGAUGGCUCUGACAGGACAAGGCAAGAGGGUGGAUUAGUUUUGACUGAAUAGUAACUAUCCUUCCUUCCUUCUAUGAUGGAGUCCUUGGUCUGAAGUGUGGUCUCAUUUCCUUAUGUCUGUGUUUGCUCAGUUUUGUAGCAAGGCCUACUGGUUUAGGUCCCUUGCCUUUCAGAGUGGUUAGUAAUGAAUUCCAGAGUAGGAGAUAACAAACAGUGGAUGGAGCUGUAGCCUGAUUGACAGGAGAGCGGUGCCAGGGGCUAAGGGAGUGGCCGGAGCCUGCCUCCUGCUGGGAAGUCUUGUGAUUUAGAAGAGCAUCUUGUCCUUGGGGUUUUGGUGCAAUGGGACUCGGCAUAUUCUAGACCCUUCUUGAGUGUCGUUUUGUCUGCUGGCCAGUCACUGUCUUCAGGCACUGAGAGCUUACUGGUCAGGAGGUAUUCAGGCACUGCCUUCUGAGGUAGGUCAACAUUCCAAGUUUAAUACAUUGGUUAGUUUUUUUAAAGCUUUAAUACAUUUACCUAUCCUUGGCAGAAGGUGAAUGCGGUUUUAUUUUUUUAAUUCUGAAGCAGCCAGGCUCGUGGCCCAGCCUCUAAUCCAGCCACUUAGAGGCCUGAGGCAGGAGGAUUACUUUACUGCACAAUGGCCUAGGCUAUAGAUAGUAAGGCCUUACGUCAAUUUUUUUUUCCUUAGGAAGAAAAUUCUGAAACAGGCUCUCCUCCCCUCCCCCGCAUUGACCUGAAAGACAGUUGUGCCUCUCACAGCUGCCCCUACCUAGCCAGGGCCACGUUCAAAACGCUGUCCUCAGUAACAGCCUUGUACUGGGACUAACUAAUCAGAUACUGGUUUAGGAGUCCCUGUGCAGAGAAACUUGAAGGUUGACACUUGGGCAUUUGAUAGUUCUCGGCUUACUAAAGAAAACGAAAAUCUCAAUAUCUGACUCGUAGCAGCCCUUAGAUAGACAUUUCAUAAUAUUUUUUCUGCAGAAUUAAUGGGAACUAAAUACAUUAGUUAAGAAAUUGGGCUAGGGCUGGUGAGAUGGCUCAGUGGGUAAGAGCACCCGACCGCUCUUCCGAAGGUCAGGAGUUCAAAUCCCAGCAACCACAUGGUGGCUCACAACCAUCCGUAAUGAGAUCUGACUCCCUCUUCUAGAGUGUCUGAGGACAGCUACAGUGUACUUACAUAUAAUAAAUAAUAAAUAAAUCUAAAAAAAUAAAUAAAUAAAAUGCU
rnacentral:lncRNA from 1 species